rnacentral:rRNA from 1 species
AUGUAUAGGAAGGAGAGAGGGCAAUUCCAGUGCCAUGCGUGGGUCUCCAUUUCUCAAACUUAUUCUAGAGAAGAUGUCCUGAGGAAUACAAUCAAGGAACUUUUCAAAGAUAACGCCAGUGUUCUGUCUAACACUGCGGCGAUGGACAUCACAUGCCUUGAAGAGACACUGAAAAGAUUUCUGGAGCAACAUAAAUAUUUGAUCGUAGAUGAUGUUUGGACUCCACAAGCAUUUGAUGACUUGUCUAGAGUGCUUAUUCAUGAUGACAAGGGCAGCAGACUGAUAAUUACAACAAGGGAAGGUGAUGUUGCUGCACUUGCCUCUCCAGGACAUAUCUUAAAGCUCGAAGCUUUACCAGAAGACAAGGCAUGUGAUCUCUUUCAUAAGAAAGCCUUUCCAACAGAUAAAAAUCAUGAAUGUCCUGUGGAGUUGAAGUCUCUGUCCUACGAAAUAGUUAGCAAGUGCAAAGGCUUGCCUCUCAUUAUUGUGUCAGUUGGUAACCUCUUGCGUGUGCGUGAGAAAACUGUGGAAGAAUGGAGAAGAAUAAAUGACCAACCGAGUUGGGAGUUAAUUAAUAACUUGAGGCUCGAUCACAUAAGGAAUGUUUUGCAUCUGAGCUUCAUCUAUCUUCCAGCAUGCUUGGAAAGUUGUUUCCUAUACUGCAGUUUAUUUCCAGAAGACUAUCUUUUCAAAAGGAAACAACUUGUACGGUUAUGGAUAGCAGAGGGAUUCAUUGAGGAGAGGGGUGAAAGCACAUUAGAAGAAGUGGCAGAAGGCUAUCUGCAGGAGUUAAUUGAUAGAAACAUGCUACAACUUGUUAAAAGGAACUCAUUUGGUAGGAAGGAAUUCAGAAUGCAUGAUAUCUUACGAGAAUUGGCUGUUGAUUUGUGUCAAAAGGAUUGUUUUGGUGUUACAUAUGAGGAUAAAUGUGUGGGUUCUCUUGAGAUGGAUGGGCGUCGAUUGGUAAUGCAUAAGCUAAAGAAGGAUAUUCAGCACUCGUUUUCUAGUAUACACCAACUUCGAACCGUCAUUGUAGUGGAUGAUAACAUGCCAUCAUUCACUCUACUACCUCUGUUAUGUAAGAAGUCAAGAUAUAUGACAGUGCUAGAAUUAAGUGGCUUACCCAUUGAGAAGAUUCCAGAUGCUAUUGGAGAUCUUUUUAGUCUCCGCCAUUUAGGUUUGCGUAAUUCAAAAGUGAAGAUGCUCCCGAGGUCUAUUGAAAAGCUUUCAAAUUUGUUGACACUGGACCUUUAUAGAUCAGAUAUACAUUAUUUGCCUAGUGGGGUUGUCAAACUGAAGAAGUUUAGGCACUUAUUUGCUGAGAAAAUGAAUUAUCUAGAUUGGAGGGAUAUUCAUUCUCACAGUGGUAUGACUAUCCCCAUUGGUCUUGGGAAUCUAACAAACCUGCAAACCUUACGAACAAUGGAAGUGCGGGGUGAGUCAGUUAGACAUUUGGGGGAGCUGAGGCAACUGAGAAGCUUGAGGUUAUCAAAUGUAAAGGGAAUCUACUGUGGACGCAUCCGUGAGUCUCUAGUUCAGAUGCAAUAUUUGUCCAAGCUAUCUGUGAAUGCAAGUGAUGAGAACGAGGUUCUCUUGUUGAACGUCCUCCCGCCAAAUCUGCAAACGCUAUCGUUGAGAGGACGAUUAGAGCAAGGGUCGUUGGAGGAGUCUCCUCCCUUCCAAUCUGAUGGAGGACAAAACGUGUGUGCAUUGGCUCUGUCUUGGUCACAACUGAGAAAAGACCCACUGCCAUCGCUUUCUUUGUUGUCGAACUUGACACUUCUACACUUCACCAGAGCAUACAACGGAGAGCAGCUGACAUUUCUCACGGGGUGGUUUCACAAGCUAAAGAUUCUCUUUCUAAGAGACCUGCCUAAUCUGAACCAGCUAGAGAUACAGCAAGGUGCCAUGGCGGGCCUGGAAAGAUUAUCCCUAGUCAACCUCAACAGCAUGACGGAGGUCCCACCUGGCAUCGAGUUCCUCGUGUCCCUUCAGUAUCUGGUCUUCCACGAAAUCACCGGUGACUUCUUGACGUUGCUGCGCCAAUGCUCUGCGAUUCGAGGGAAGCAGUGGCAUCAUACUCUCCAGCUUUGA